rnacentral:tRNA from 2 species
GCCCGGUUAGCUCAGUCGGUAGAGCAUUCGGCUUUUACGCUCCUCUCAACGAGGUGGAUGACACCGAAAUGUCGGGGGUUCGAGCCCCCCAUUGGGCG